UCCCAUGCUCCCAGACAGACCCAUGGGCUAAUUUACAUAUCAGCAAAGAGCCAAAGUCAUAAAUGAAAUCUAGGAGGCCAAAUUCUGUGCAAGUCACGGAAUGAAGCUUAAACGAGGAAUGAGGGACUAUUUA